rnacentral:piRNA from 1 species
UAGCUGUUUCUGCUAAGUGAGGUUAUGGUU